CUAUCUGCAGUCGAGCGGAGCAUCUGAUGUAGCUUGCUACUGAUGAUGCUUAGCGGCGGACGGGUGAGUAACACGUAGGCAACCUGCCUGCAAGACCGGGAUAACCCACGGAAACGUGAGCUAAUACCGGAUAGAUGGUCUCUUCACAUGGAGGGAUCAGGAAAGACGGAGCAAUCUGUCACUUGCGGAUGGGCCUGCGGCGCAUUAGCUAGUAGGUGAGGUAACGGCUCACCUAGGCGACGAUGCGUAGCCGACCUGAGAGGGUGAACGGCCACACUGGGACUGAGACACGGCCCAGACUCCUACGGGAGGCAGCAGUAGGGAAUCUUCGGCAAUGGACGCAAGUCUGACCGAGCAACGCCGCGUGAGUGAAGAAGGGUUUCGGCUCGUAAAACUCUGUUGCCAGGGAAGAACGCCGGUGAGAGUAACUGCUCACCGGGUGACGGUACCUGAGAAGAAAGCCCCGGCUAACUACGUGCCAGCAGCCGCGGUAAUACGUAGGGGGCAAGCGUUGUCCGGAAUUAUUGGGCGUAAAGCGCGCGCAGGCGGCCGUUUAAGUCUGGUGUUUAAACCCAGGGCUCAACCUUGGGUCGCACUAGAAACUGGGCGGCUGGAGUGCAGGAAAGGAAAGUGGAAUUCCACGUGUAGCGGUGAAAUGCGUAGAGAUGUGGAGGAACACCAGUGGCGAAGGCGACUUUCUGGCCUGUAACUGACGCUGAGGCGCGAAAGCGUGGGGAGCAAACAGGAUUAGAUACCCUGGUAGUCCACGCCGUAAACGAUGAGUGCUAGGUGUUAGGGGUUUCGAUACCUUGGUGCCGAAGUUAACACAGUAAGCACUCCCCCUGGGGAGU
rnacentral:rRNA from 1 species